ACAAUACCUGUGCAACCAAAAUUAAUGUAGUCGGAAAUACUUUCAACUUACAAAUAUUUUUGAUGUUUCGAAACUCCUCUAAAAAACAUUUGAACUCAUUGCUAGCUCUAAGAUAAUUUUUAAUUUUCAAAAUUAGAGGAGGAUUAAGUAUCUAAACAUGAUUUGGAAGGGUUUAUGAGCUUCACUAAUGCUAAUGACUUGAUUUGAGAGUACGAGAAUCAUCAAGAGGCACUCCCACCUACCACACAUGCAUAAAGAAACAAGGAGUAGCCUGCCAUGCUUGUUUGCUGCAGCUCAAAGGACAAGACAUUGAGUGAAUUGAGAAAACAACAAAGCUAUGACACAUAGAUGCAUGAUUUUCAACAAAAUGACAGCACAAAGGAGUGGAGGAGAUUGAUUUGGAGAUGCCCUUCACAUGAAGACCUGAAUUUUUUUGUACAAUAAUGAGCAAGUGGCCAUGUGAAGAAAGAUGAGGAGGAAAGGAGCCAGAAAGACACCAGGCCGUGCCCCCCUUUGGUAGGUAAGCCACUCUCAUUUUUGCUCAUCAUAUUCCACCAAGAACACCUCUGGACAGCCUCUGAAAAAUUUGAAACUCCACUCAUACACAAAAAUUCAAGCAAAUAAAAAUUUCAGCAAGCACCUCUUGUUAAUUCUUGCUCUUGUGCAAUUCCUCACCAGCAAG
rnacentral:lncRNA from 1 species